rnacentral:misc_RNA from 1 species
AAAGUGGUACGUCUUACCUGAAAAUAACUUGAGCAUUUUAUGUAGAUUUUAUUACCUGAAAAUGCACUUGGCUGGUGUUAGCACAGCUGUUUCAAAUGGCAUUUAAAGUUCUCUAUUAUAUAUUUUGUUGAAAUUUGUCAGAAGCUUGAUUUCAUGCCAUAUCUUUGCUGUCAGAUUAUUGCCUUGAAUGCUAUAAAUCUUCGUGACUCACUGUAUAGAUAUGUUACAAAGCUUUUUACCUUGAUAUUUUUU